CUAACUUGAUAAAAAAAUGGCUAAGAAAAUCUACAAAUUAAUAAUGUACAGUGUCACUGUGGCAUCUUUAAUUAUUUUCUGUGGUCCUACCCCACCCUAGUUCCUGAUUCGAGAAUGUAAAUUUCCGAAGAAAUGGUGUCUUGGAUUCCGACCAACAAAUAUACUUAACUAUGUACUAUAUCUAUAAACACCUUGCACUUUGCACUGCGUAGUAAUAAAAGCAUAUUAAAAAUUCAAA